AAGGAAAUGACUUACACCCAAAUCAGGAUCUGUUUUUGAGGGAACCCAACAUAACACAUGGAGAGAUGGGUUUCCUAUGAAGAAGGAAAUAUGGGCUGUAAAAUACCACGGAGAGUCAGAGUUCAUAUCUUUGCCAUUCUUGUGAUGAGAGUGUUUCAAUUUCUCAGACAUUCACUUUACCCGGUGCCAUCCAUGAUUCCAGGCACUUGAUAGAGUGAGCUUUGUGAACACAGCAAAGGGCUAGCCCCUCAGACUCAUGGCAAUGAGGAUUUUUGGGGUUUAAUGGAAAAAUGGCAGAACAAUAAAGAAAAUGGAAGAAAGAGAAAAUAUGAGAAGAAAUGGAAGAAAAUGGAGAAAAAUG
rnacentral:lncRNA from 10 species